rnacentral:rRNA from 1 species
UUAUAAAUAUUAGUUUAAAAUUAUUGUGAAAUAAUUUUAAUUUAAAUCUUUAGAAAAAAUUUUUAACAAAAAUGAAAAGUAAGUAUAAUUAUUAGAAAAUUUCUUUAAAACUAUAAAAUUAAGUACCGUGAGGGAAAAUUGAAAUAAUGUGAAAAAUUGAUAAACAUAAAAGAAAAAGUUAAACCUUGUACCUUUUGUAUAAUGGUGGAGCAAGAAUUUUAAAAGAAAAGUCUUAAUUCCCGAAACUAAGUGAGCUAAUAUUUUCUACUUAAAGAGAUAUAGUUUUUACUGUUGCAAUAGUAAGUACUUGAGGAAAUAUUAGGUGUAAAAUGCUAAUCGCACUUAGUUAUAGCUGGUUUUUCGAGAAAUUGGUCUUAGCCAAGGGUGAAGUCAUUAUUUCAUAAUCAAAUUUUUAAGAAUAACAAAAAAUAUUUAGAUAAUACUUAACCCCUUAGACAAAGAGGGACAAGCUUUUUUGUCAAGUAGGAAAAAACCUUUUUUAUUAAUUUAGGCUAAUAAAAGAAACGAAUGUGGUACUUUGAAACUUAUAAGUAGGAUUAAUAGCAUCCAUCUUUUUAGAAAGCGUUAAAGCUCUUUCGAUAAAAACACCCACAGAAUAAUCUUAUUAUUAUAAAGCCGAAAUUAUAAAACUCCUUAUCGGAAAAUUUCGCAUUUUAAAGAUAUCGAAAGAUAAGAUGCUUUAAUUAGUAAUGAUACUUGAUUUGCUGAGAAUUAAUCUUUAUAAUUAUAAUCCUAACUUUGGAUGGAAAAAUAAGAUGAAUACAAACGAGAAAAAAAAUUUAUUAAUUGUCUUCCAACUCAGGAAAUCAGAAGAUAUAAAAUUAAAAGGAAGGAACUCGGCAAAUUCAGAUUUCGCCUGUUUACCAAAAACAUCGCUCUUUGGAAAACUCCUUGAUGUAUAAAGAGUUCUGCCUGCCCAGUGACAUUAGUUAAACGGCCGCGGUAUCUUGACCGUGCGAAGGUAGCAUAAUCAUUUGCCCUUUAAAUGGGGGCUGGUAUGAAUGGCAAGACGGAAAUCUAGCUGUCUCCCUUUUAAUAUCUUGAAAUUAAUAUAUUUGUGAAGAAGCAAAUAUAAAGUCGUGGGACGAGAAGACCCUAUCGAGUUUUAGUAUAUAAUCCUAAACUAAAAAGUACUGGUCUUAAGCUGAUUUUUAACAAUAAAAGUAAAUUCACUCUAACCUAGUGCGUGGUUUUAGUAUAACUACUUUAAUUGGGGCAAUUACGGAGAAAACUAAUCCUCCGAUAUGAGUAAUAAUUCUACAGAAAACACUUUGGAAAUGUAAAAAUUACACACUAAUGAUCCACUUUUAAAAAGUGAACAAAGGAACAAAUUACCGUAGGGAUAACAGCGUUAUUCUCUUAGAGAGUCCACAUUGAUAAGAGAGUUUGCGACCUCGAUGUUGGAUCGGGACUUCCAAGAAAUGCAGCAGUUUCUAAGGGUUGGUCUGUUCGACCAUUAAAGUCCUACGUGAUCUGAGUUCAGACCGGCGUGAGCCAGGUCAGUUUCUAUCUACGAUUACCAAAUUUUUAUUUCCCUUAGUACGAAAGGACCAGGGAAAUAGUGCCAAUGCUUUAAAAUAAGCACUAAAUAAAAGUUCUGUCUUAUAAUGAAGAUAAAGUAACUGAUGUUGUUUUAGAUAACU